rnacentral:rRNA from 1 species
UACGAAGGGGGCUAGCGUUGCUCGGAAUCACUGGGCGUAAAGCGCACGUAGGCGGAUUGUUAAGUCAGGGGGUGAAAUCCCGGAGCUCAACUCCGGAACUGCCUUUGAUACUGGCGAUCUUGAGUCCGGGAGAGGUGAGUGGAAUUCCUGGUGUAGCGGUGAAAUGCGCAGAUAUCAGGAGGAACACCAAUGGCGAAGGCAGCUCGCUGGGACGGUACUGACGCUGAGACGCGAAAGCGUGGGGAGCAAACAGG